rnacentral:rRNA from 1 species
AUUGAACGCUGGCGGCAUGCUUUACACAUGCAAGUCGAACGGUAACAGGCCGCAAGGUGCUGACGAGUGGCGAACGGGUGAGUAAUGCAUCGGAACGUGCCCAGUCGUGGGGGAUAACGAGGCGAAAGCUUUGCUAAUACCGCAUACGAUCGCAGGAUGAAAGCAGGGGACCGCAAGGCCUUGCGCUCACGGAGCGGCCGAUGGCAGAUUAGGUAGUUGGUGGGAUAAAAGCUUACCAAGCCGACGAUCUGUAGCUGGUCUGAGAGGACGACCAGCCACGCUGGGACUGAGACACGGCCCAGACUCCUACGGGAGGCAGCAGUGGGGAAUUUUGGACAAUGGGCGCAAGCCUGAUCCAGCCAUGCCGCGUGCAGGAUGAAGGCCUUCGGGUUGUAAACUGCUUUUGUACGGAACGAAAAGACUCUGGUUAAUACCUGGGGUCCAUGACGGUACCGUAAGAAUAAGCACCGGCUAACUACGUGCCAGCCGCCGCGGUAAUAC